rnacentral:lncRNA from 1 species
CCUGUUCUAGUUAAUUUUGGUAGUUUUUUUUUAUCCUUUUUAAAAUUAGCAACUCAAUAUUUCCAGCUGGAAUGUCUUUUUCUGCUUUUGAAUAAUAUUAUAGUCCUAUGGUCAUUUGUAGGAAGGAAACCACGGGUAUUCGAGAAGACCAAUGAUGGAGGAUGGCAAAGAUGUGAGUAAUGCAUAUUCUCAAUUAUACCCAUGGGUCCUUGUCCCAGUGAUUGCCAAAAGAAUAUUUAUUCUGUCAAGUUAACAGUUUCACAUCAAAAUUGUUUAUAGUGGCAUUUUAAUUCAAUACCAUUUCUUCUUCUUAUAAUUUAUCAAAAUUAAAUAGAUUCCUUUCCACCAUUACG